UUUAUUGAUGGACUAGCGAUGAAGUACUUUACAAGCAUACGUAGCGUUUACAAACUCCUAUGUAAUUUGUGCAUUAAUGCUUGCCACAUGAAUAAUAUAUA
rnacentral:ncRNA from 1 species